GAUGAACGCUGGCGGCGUGCCUAAUACAUGCAAGUCGAGCGAACGGACGAGAAGCUUGCUUCUCUGAUGUUAGCGGCGGACGGGUGAGUAACACGUGGAUAACCUACCUAUAAGACUGGGAUAACUUCGGGAAACCGGAGCUAAUACCGGAUAAUAUUUUGAACCGCAUGGUUCAAAAGUGAAAGACGGUCUUGCUGUCACUUAUAGAUGGAUCCGCGCUUCAUUAGCUAGUUGGUAAGGUAACGGCUUACCAAGGCAACGAUGCAUAGCCGACCUGAGAGGGUGAUCGGCCACACUGGAACUGAGACACGGUCCAGACUCCGACGGGAGGCAGCAGUAGGGAAUCCUCCGCAAUGGGCGAAAGCCUGACGGAGCAACGCCGCGUGAGUGAUGAAGGUCUUCGGAUCGUAAAACUCUGUUAUUAGGGAAGAACAUAUGUGUAAGUAACUGUGCACAUCUUGACGGUACCUAAUCAGAAAGCCACGGCUAACUACGUG
rnacentral:rRNA from 1 species